UCUUUAAUAGACUACUGUGUACAGUAGUUAUUAUCGAGCUUUGUCAAGCUAUCAACGAGCUGGGAGUCUGAACUCUGAACUCAGGCAGGCGAAAUUGAAGUGACUUUCCCUCUUUCUUUCUUCCUCCCACCUCUCCUCGCGCCGCCGCCGGCAACUAGGCUCUGACGGCACCGUCUCUCUCAGUUCUCCUUCUCAUUCGCUCUACAGGACUGGCUUGGGGGUGGAGGUUUGCCCGGCCCCGGGCUCGGAUUGAUCUGGUGACGGACCCUACUUCUUUUCUUCGCUGUGAGCACUGUAGUUCCCAAUCUCUCCUUCCGGGACUGAUGCCCCAAUCUAGGGCACCCCUGAGUACCUGACCACCCAAGCCUCGUACAUCGAUUCCCGCUGUUCUCACCCGGUCCGUGAUCUUGGAUAUUGGUUGAGGGAAGUGUGUAUGGUACUUUUAUGGUUGGCCAAAUGCAGAUAUCUUGGCCAUCCACGAUUGUAGAGCUCAUCUUGGGCCUGCUAUGGCACCUCGUCCACCUGUUGGUCAGCCUCUUUGAUUUGUGGUCGCAUCUGAGUGAUAAUCUAGAAUGUUAUCUUAUUUCGUCUGGGCUGCUGCCCAAGUACCGAGAUCUUCAUUUUGAAAGACUUAAUUACGUGGGCGUUGUAGUAGAUAGCAGAGAAGCAAAUAAUGUUUUGAAGAUCAAGCAACUUUUACGGUGGUUAUCAACUAUUGGCGUUAAGUAUGUAGUUCUCUAUGACAUUGAAGGAGUACUGAAGGAAUGGCUUAAACCUGGUAUCAAAACCCCAAGAGAUGAGAACUCAAGAACUAAUUUAGAUCUUAGUGCACAUGGGGGGAUGGCUAUAGAGUGUCUUUCUGGUUCUGAUGGCAAGGAAGGCAUUGCUAAAGCAGCAAACUUACUGUGCUCAGACUUCUGCAAUCGCAACACUCAUGGGCAUAAUAAACUUGACAAUGCAUUUACAGAAGCUGACAUGGUUUGUGCACUGAGAGAAGUAGGUAGUGGUGGGCCAGAACCUGAUCUUCUUCUUGUGUACGGUCCUGUUAGAUGUCAUUUAGGAUUUCCUGCAUGGAGAUUACGUUUCACAGAGAUUAUGCAUAUGGGCUCGUUGAAAUCAAUGAAAUACGGUUCUAUUGUGAAAGCUUUGCAUCGAUUCUCACACAAAUAUCAAAAUUAUGGUAACCCCAUAUUUCAGGUAAAUGAGAGGAGACAAGAAAGCCACCCAUUUUGUUAUGUAAAAUGUGUACUUCUGGAGCGGGCUGAAGUUUAUUAACUACAAUAUGUAGUCUUGGCGGAUACACUGUGCUUCCUUUUUGUUUGGAUCAAAUGGGUUACCUGUAGAACAUACAGAUGGUGAUACAUGAUAGGCUCAUAUGGGCAACCAUGAUAUCUCGUAUCCCACGGAAUGCAUACUCUCUAGCCAGACACAAAAAUUGCAACUGUCUGUGCUGUCCACAAGCUGCUGAAAAAUCUGAGCCAAGGGAAUGCAGU